GCUGGGCAUGGUGGCACAUGCCUGAAAUUCCAACAACUUGGGAAGCUGAGGCAGGAGGAUCUCAAGUUCAAAGCCAACCUCAGCAACUUAGUGAGGCCCUAGUAACUUAGUAAGACCCUGCCUUGA
rnacentral:sRNA from 1 species